UGUAAGUUGUUAAAGUAUGUAAAUAAAAAUUUAUUUUAAAAAGUUUUGUAUAAGGUUAGUUUUGCCAUAGGGUUAGUUUUGCCAUACAUUUUGCCAUAAAGUUAGUUUUACCAUAGGUUUUGCCAUAGGUUUUACCAUGAGGUUAGUUUUGUCAUUGGUUUUGCUAUAAGGAUAAUUUUGCCACAUGGUUAGCUUUGCCAUAAGUUUUUCCAUAAGGUUAGUUUUGCCAUAUGUUUUAGUCUUGCCAUACAGUUAGAUUUGCCAUAAGUUAGUAAAUGCAAUAAAGGCAAUGGAGACAUUACUGCUUGGAACUUCUAGAUUUUGUCUACCUUGCCUUGCCAUUUGCCGGGUAGGGUUCUUUCGGUAGCCAUAGGUUUUGCAUAAGGUUAGUUUUGCCAUAAGUUGGAAAUGACUUGAAGAUACACAGCGACCGGUAAAUCCAGGGUAGAUUUGCCACCUUGCUGAUAAUGGAAGCCACCUGCUGUUGUUGCCUUAAGGUGCAUUCAAAUUAAGUGGUAUUACUCAAUGAUGAUCAGACAUCCAAAUUCUGCUAGUGUUACUAAAGUGAUAUAAACAGUUAUGUAACUCCAAAGACAAAGUGACAGGCUUCCCUUUUUGUGGCUCGCCCAGGAGACCUUUCCUCGGGAUUGUGCCACUUGUUCCUAAAGCAGAUGGACCGGGUGGCUUGGAUUUUCAGCUUUGGACAUCAGAUCGGAAGCGACGUGCGAGAUUCCUAAGGGAAGGGCUGCAUAGUGCGACGCAAAGAGCUAGCUAGUCAUUCCCUUCUUGGCAUCUCCAACGAAGAAGGAUUUGCAUCUCUGAUCUUGGAGCAGCCGAGGUGCACAAAGUUGGAUACUGAUCCCUGUUAUUCACACAAACAAAUGCAAAAUGUGGGCUGCUCAUUGGAUGGCAGAUUUGGAGAGGAUGCCUGGUGUUAGCAUUUCCCAAUGUUCCUCAAAGCCUGUCUUCCGCCAACGCCUCUCUCAUCGCAAUCCCUCGCAUCUUCACCACGUCUCCUGUUGUUGCGCAAGGGACCAGAGAACUUCUCCAAGGAGAUGCAAUGCAAACAGACCGGCGGGGCUGAGUCAUGUGCGCUUGCCCUUCGGAGUCUGCAGUCCUGCUGAGCUAAGGAAACAAAGAUAAAUCCCUCGGCUUCUUAACAGCUCAUCAUAAUCCGGCACUGGCACGGCCCUGCCUUCCCUCCCGGGGCAAUGUGCAAUGUGCGCAGCCUUGGAGGAAGAGAAUGCUAGAGCUUGGAAAGGAGCCCCAAAGGGAGCCCAAAGGCCAUCCAGUCCAACCUCUUUCUGCCAGGCAGGAAGACACCAUAAAAGUCCUCCCGACAGAUGGUUAUCCACCUAGUUGAAUCAUAGAAUCCUAUAGCUGGAAUGGACCCACAAAGGGCUCAGUAGAUUUUCUUGCGGUGUCAACGUUGCUUUCUUGGAGAGAGGUUUUCUCCGUCUCCAGCUCUUGUUGUUUCCAAGCCAAGUUUUCCAGUUCCAGUUGGGCCGGGCCAUGCCGAGACUCUCGAGUAGACCUUGACUUUGCUUCAGGUGUUAUUCCUUGUUCCUGUUUCAAGUUUGCCUCAGCCUUGACAACCUUGCUGCCUUGAUUGCUACGAAGUAUUUCCAGUGGAUUGAACUCUGUUUCUGCCAGCCUGUUUUUCUGUUUCAACUUAUGGACACUUUGAUUUUUUUGGAGAGCUAUCGAGUUCUCAUUGUGGAUUAUAAUAUUGGACUCAUUUGGAACCACCAUUGACUUUCUAAAAAGAACUAUUCCUUACUCAGACUCUAUACCAAACUUCCUUUGGAUUUAUAAUUGCUUUAAUAAAGAUAUAAUGUGUUA